rnacentral:rRNA from 1 species
UACGUAGGGGGCAAGCGUUGUCCGGAAUCAUUGGGCGUAAAGCGCGUGUAGGCGGCUCGAUAAGUCUGCUGUAAAAGUCCAGGGCUCAACCCUGGAAAGCCGGUGGAAACUGUCGAGCUAGAGUCCGGAAGAGGCGAGUGGAAUUCCUGGUGUAGCGGUGAAAUGCGCAGAUAUCAGGAGGAACACCAAUGGCGAAGGCAGCUCGCUGGGACGGUACUGACGCUGGAGACGCGAAAAGCGUGGGGAGCAAAACAGG